GGCCUUCACAUGAGUCCUGUGAAGAAAGAAAUUGUAAAGGAAUGAAAGGAUGAUUGAAUGAGCCCAUCAUCUUCCUUCUGAGCCCAGUAGAGGCUCCAGAGUGCUCUCCAUGCCACAGGACCUCCGGAUCACCUGGGGAUCACAGCUACUCUCUGAUGAAGUUGGUGGCGCUGUGGAGGAGGACCGCCGCCUCCUGGACGAGGACCGGGAGCGCUCAGCAUUGUAGGAGACAUGCUUGUCGUAGUUCUCCAUCUGUGUCUCAAUGAAGUCCCUUUGCUGCUGUCUGAUGGUCUGGCUGAUUAGCCCAGGGAGGGCGUGAAUGCUACCAAUCAAAGUCUCUAGUUUUGUUUCCAGGGUGACGAUCCUUUUCUCAAAGUCUUCACUCCUUUCGUUUAAGUCGGAAAUCAUGUCAUACAUGAUAUUCUGGGUCUGGAAAGCAAGAAUGAGAAGAUAGAAACAGAGAAGGAAGAGGCUUAGUGACUUUUGCCUCAGAAGCGAACUGUCAACUCUUCAAGCUUCAGCACUGGCCUCUUGACAGGUGUGUCAGCUAACAGAAGAGUUUAGGUCACAAAGC
rnacentral:lncRNA from 1 species